CUCCUAAGGGAGGCAGCAGUAGGGAAUAUUGGGCAAUGGGCGCAAGCUGUACCCAGCAACGCCGCGUGGGGGAAGAAGGUUUUCGGAUUGUAAACCUAUGUCCUAUGUGACGAAAGAAGUGACGGUAACAUAGAAGGAAGACCCGGCUAACUACGAUAGCCAGCAGCACGCGGUAAUACGUAAGGGGCGAGCGUUGUCCGGAAUUACUGGGA
rnacentral:rRNA from 1 species